CAGCAUCUGAAGCAAACAAGGAAAGAGAUGAUCCCAAAAUAAUGAGGAGAAGGAAGUUGAGGCCAAGAAAUACGAUGACGAAAAGUGAAAAGCGCAGCCGAGCUUGAGGAGCUUGAAUAAAAAGGUGACGAAGCCUCGGGAGUUCCACUUUGCAACUAUGAAUGGGUUCCUCCUGC